rnacentral:rRNA from 1 species
UACGGGGGGGGGCAAGCGUUGUUCGGAAUUACUGGGCGUAAAGGGCUCGUAGGUGGCCAACUAAGUCAUACGUGAAAUCCCUCAGCUUAACUGGGGAACUGCGCCUGAUACUGGUUGGCUUGAGUUUGGGAGAGGGACGUGGAAUUCCACGUGUAGCGGUGAAAUGCGUAGAGAUGUGGAGGAACACCAGUGGCGAAGGCGACUCUUUGGUCUGUAACUGACGCUGAGGCGCGAAAGCGUGGGGAGCAAACAGGG